GUUAAAGCCACUAGAAUUCUCAGUAUUUGGAGAUUUCCCAUAGCCUUCAUCUGCUCAAACAUUGCGCUGGAGUUGGCUGUGUCCCUACAAGCCAUUUUCAUGAACUUUUUUUUUUUUAGAAAUGUGUUGUUCAUCUGCUGCUUUACUCCCCCUGUGAUACCUACACCAGCUGGCACAUCAGCUUCAGGAGCAAGUCACCUUGCUGAUCCUCUUGUGCAACAAGGCACCCUCCAGGUUGAGAGUCAGGCAGAGUCUAAUUGUGAAACUGCUUGUGGCACAGGAAUUCAAGGAGUGUACCUCUCCUAAGGAGGCAUCAUGUAAAGUAGGAUUUGUUACUUGUGGGCUUCCAUAGCUUAAUGCCAGUUUCUGUGCCUGGAGAGUGACCUUGUGAAAUGCAGGCUGCCGACCGUGGCAGUGUGCAGCAUUAGCCUGAAGUCACUGUCCCAGGUGAAUGCUUCUGCCAUGACAAAGUAGAUGAUGUCCAAGAAGACUGGAAGAGCUAGUUGGUCUUUUUGCUCAUGGAGCAACCAUUCAAGAAAUGAAAUAAAGUUGAUGAACUAAGCCUUAUCUUCCUCAGUGUCUUUCUUGAACUUACAGGUUCAAACACCAGCAGAGAUGACCUCUGAUAUUAGUGAAUAUUGUUAGAUUUAAGACUCAUUACUAGAUAACAAGAGGUUGCUUUUAUCCAUUAAUUGGAAUUAGUGAUACAGAGGUUCAUUAAUGCAAGUCACUCAGAACUUGAAUGCUAAAUUCUGUCAAACUCCUUCAUUAAAGCAGAACAUUAAGC
rnacentral:lncRNA from 1 species